rnacentral:rRNA from 1 species
CCUACGGGUGGCAGCAGUAGGGAAUAUUGCUCAAUGGGGGAAACCCUGAAGCAGCAACGCCGCGUGGAGGAUGAAGGUUUUCGGAUUGUAAACUCCUUUUGUUAGAGAAGAUAAUGACGGUAUCUAACGAAUAAGCACCGGCUAACUCCGUGCCAGCAGCCGCGGUAAUACGUAGGGUGCAAGCGUUACUCGGAAUUACUGGGCGUAAAGAGCGCGUAGGCGGGAUAGCAAGUCAGAUGUGAAAGCCUAUGGCUUAACCAUAGAACUGCAUUUGAAACUGUUAUUCUAGAGUAUGGAAGAGGAGGGUGGAAUUCUUGGUGUAGGGGUAAAAUGCGUAGAGAUCAAGAAGAAUACUCAUUGCGAAGGCGACCUGCUAGAACAUAACUGACGCUGAUGCGCGAAAGCGUGGGGAGCAAACAGGAUUAGAUACCCGAGUAGUC